AUUGAACGCUGGCGGCAGGCCUAACACAUGCAAGUCGAACGAGUGGCGGACGGGUGAGCAAUGUCUGGGACUCUGCCUGAUGGAGGGGGAUAACUACUGGAAACGGAAGCUAAUACCGCAUACCAUCGGCUGUGCCCAGUUGGGUUUGGCUGGUGGGGGGGGUAACGGCUAACCUAGGCGACGAUCCCUAGCUGGUCGGAGAGGAUGACCGGCCAACCUGGAACUGGAAAACGUUCCGGACUCCUAGGGGAGGCAGAGGUGGGAAAUAUUGCACAAUGGGGGCAGGCCUGAUGCGGCCAUGCGGGGUGUAUGAGGAGGGCCUUCGGGUUGUAAAGUACUUUAGGCGAGGAGACGUUACUCGCAGAAGAGGCACCGGCUAACUCCGUGCCAGCGGCGCGGUAAUAC
rnacentral:rRNA from 1 species